rnacentral:rRNA from 1 species
GCAUAUCAAUAAGCGGAGGAAAAGAAACCAACAGGGAUUGCCCCAGUAACGGCGAGUGAAGCGGCAACAGCUCAAAUUUGAAAUCUGGCCUCGGCCCGAGUUGUAAUUUGCAGAGGAUGCUUUUGGCGCGGUGCCUUCUGAGUUCCCUGGAACGGGACGCCAGAGAGGGUGAGAGCCCCGUACGGUUGGCCGCCUAGCCUGUGUAAAGCUCCUUCGACGAGUCGAGUAGUUUGGGAAUGCUGCUCAAAAUGGGAGGUAUAUCUCUUCUAAAGCUAAAUACCGGCCAGAGACCGAUAGCGCACAAGUAGAGUGAUCGAAAGAUGAAAAGCACCUUGAAAAGGGGGUUAAACAGCACGUGAAAUUGUUGAAAGGGAAGCGCCUGUGACCAGACUUGUGCCUGGCGGAUCACCCGGGGUUCUCCCCGGGGCACUCCGCCUGGCCCAGGCCAGCAUCGGUUUCCGCUGGGGGAUAAAGGCUCUGGGAACGUAGCUCCUCCGGGAGUGUUAUAGCCCUCUGCGUAAUACCCUCGCGGGGACCGAGGUACGCGCUCCGCAAGGAUGCUGGCGUAAUGGUCAUUAGCGACCCGUCUUGAAACACGGAUCAAGGAGUCGUCCAUUAGAGCGAGCGUUUGGGUGUCAAACCCGCACGCGUAAUGAAAGUGAACGUAGGUGAGAGCUUCGGCGCAUCAUCGACCGAUCCUGAUGUCCUCGGAUGGAUUUGAGUAUGAGUUUUACUGGACGGACCCGAAAGAUGGUGAACUAUGCCUGUAUAGGGUGAAGCCAGAGGAAACUCUGGUGGAGGCUCGCAGCGGUUCUGACGUGCAAAUCGAUCGUCAAAUAUGGGCAUGGGGGCGAAAGACUAAUCGAACCAUCUAGUAGCUGGUUACCGCCGA